UGAAAGGACAAUGAAGCAGUUGAAUUGGAGG
rnacentral:piRNA from 1 species